GACGAAGGAUGCAAGCGUUAUCCGGAUUCAUUGGGUUUAAAGGGAGCGUAGGUGGCCUUAUAAGUCAGUGGUGAAAUCUCUCGGCUUAACCGAGAAAUUGCCAUUGAUACUGUAGGGCUUGAGUAUAGUUGCCGUUGGCGGAAUAUGACAUGUAGUGGUGAAAUACAUAGAGAUGUCAUAGAACACCGAUUGCGAAGGCAGCUGACGAAACUAUAACUGACACUGAGGCUCGAAGGUGCGGGGAUCAAACAGG
rnacentral:rRNA from 1 species